UACGGAGGGUGCAAGCGUUAAUCGGAAUUACUGGGCGUAAAGCGCACGCAGGCGGACUGUUAAGUCAGAUGUGAAAUCCCCCGGCUCAACCUGGGAACUGCAGUUGAAACUGGCAAGCUAGAGUAUCGUAGAGGGGGGUAGAAUUCCAGGUGUAGCGGUGAAAUGCGUAGAGAUCUGGAGGAAUACCGGUGGCGAAGGCGGCCCACUGGGCGAAAACUGACGCUCAGGUGCGAAAGUGUGGGGAGCAAACAGG
rnacentral:rRNA from 1 species